rnacentral:lncRNA from 1 species
AUGGCCGCUGGCCAGUCUUGGGUGUCUUCCAAGCAAACAACUACUGAGUCUUUUAAUUCUUACCUAAAACUCAGGACAUCAUUAAUAGUUAAACGCCCGAAGCUAAUUUUGACAUCACAGACAUCACAGAGGAAUGAGAUUUCCCAGCAACCCAGCCCUCUCCUCGGCUCACCCCAUCCUGUCCUGAGACUGUCUGUGGUCCCUCUUGUGCAAGCACAUCAGACAGACGUGAGUUCGGAUCCACACUUCAUGAGAGGAAGUUUCUACCUAGCGAAACACGGAGUCACAGAAAACAAGACCAUGGCUGAGCAUGGAUCUGCAGUGGCUUCUGACACAGAGAUCCCAGCUCCAGGGCUGUGGGGAGCAUUGCCUCCUCGCCAUACUCCGGCUUCCCAGGGUGACCACGGUCACUUCUUGGCAACAGUCGUUCUCCAUCACACUCUCCAGAUGAUACGUUUGGCUGCUCCGGCUGUCAUCGCAGCUAGAACCCUGGCAUGUAGAACCAGAGAGACAGACAAAUGGGUUCAGAUCUACACUGCCGCUGCAUUGGGAGCUUAGGCAAGUCACCUGACUGUGCUGUGCCUCAGUUUCCCCAUUUGUAAGACAAAUACUAAAAUGGCAUUAUCCUGUAGUUGUGCAAUAAACCCCCAUCCAAAAAGUGUUUGAGCAGCAACUAGCUGUGUCAUGUCACCAUCCUCCCAGGUUGGUGGGGACCCAGAAGGUCACAUCCUAGAUUGUGGGGACCUAGCUGUGCUCACUAGUGACAAUGUCUUUACUGUGUCAGUUGCUGCUCUGCCAUGUCCUGAGUUUACCUGGACUUGGCUUGUUU